AUAUCAAAAGGCGUAAACUAUUAGACUAUUUAGUAUUUUUGUCGAUUUCAAAUUGAAAUGGAUCCAAUAUCAAUACGAAAAGAUCUUGGAGUGGCAGAUUAUUUGUCAUUUGUUCUUCUCAUGGCAAUAUCUACAAUUAUUGGAGUAUAUUUUGCAUACAGGGAUAGAAACGAUGCCACAACUAAAAAUUACUUUUUCGGGGGAAAGCAAAUGAAUCCGGUUGCUGUUGGCCUUUCACUUGCUGUGACAUUCCAAUCAGCUAUUGUUGUGAUUGCGACUCCCGCCGA